rfam:Boseongicola aestuarii strain CECT 8489 genome assembly, contig: 0014
GCUGCCGUAGCUCAGAGGUAGAGCACUCCCUUGGUAAGGGAGAGGUCGAGAGUUCAAUUCUCUCCGGCAGCA